CACGUAGGGGGCAAGCGUUGUCCGGAAUUAUUGGGCGUAAAGAGCUCGUAGGCGGCUUGUUGCGUCGACUGUGAAAACCCGCGGCUUAACCGCGGGCUUGCAGUUGAUACGGGCAGGCUAGAGUUCGGUAGGGGAGACUGGAAUUCCUGGUGUAGCGGUGAAAUGCGCAGAUAUCAGGAGGAACACCGGUGGCGAAGGCGGGUCUCUGGGCCGAAACUGACGCUGAGGAGCGAAAGCGUGGGGAGCGAACAGG
rnacentral:rRNA from 1 species